GAUGAAGAACGUAGCGAAAUGCGAUAAGUAAUGUGAAUUGCAGAAUUCAGUGAAUCAUCGAAUCUUUGAACGCACCUUGCACCCUUUGGACUGCUCCAAAGGGUAUGCUCGUUUGAGUGUCAUUGUACUCUCACACUCUCUGAUCCUUUGGAUUUGGGGAGCAGUGGACUUGGGUGCUUGCUGCUUCCUUGUGGCUCACCUGAAAUGCAUCAGUGCAUCUCUCGAUUGGACAUAGUACGGCGUGAUAAGUGUCUUCGCCGGCACCUCAUAUGAGGGUGGCCGAUCGGGAGCUCUGUGCUUUCAAACCGUCUUCGGACAACGCUGACAACUUGACCUCAAAUCGAGUAGGACUACCCGCUGAACUUAAGCAUAUCAAUAGCGGAGGA
rnacentral:misc_RNA from 1 species